rnacentral:ncRNA from 2 species
GGAAAACACUAGGGGUGCCAAAAGCUGAGAGAGGAUUUCCUCAACCCUUUUAACCUGAUCUAGGUAAUGCUAGCGCAGGGAAGUGGAGAAGAUGCGUA